AAAGUGGAUUGGACAAUCGCGCGCGGGCUGACGCAAGUUAGGCUUCUCGAGGAAAGUCCGGGCACCAUAGAGCGGGAUGCCAGUUAACGGCUGGGCGGUGAGAGCCGACGGAAAGUGCAGCAGAAAAUAUACCGCCGAUGGCCCUUCGGGGAUCAGGUAAGGUUGAAAUGGUGCGGUAAGAGCGCACCGCGCUUCUGGCAACAGAAGUGGCAGUGAAAACCCCAUCCGGUGCAAGACCAAAUAGGAAAACGUGUCGUCGGCUUGCCGGCGCGCCGCGUGGCUCGCGCGGGUUUUCGGGUAGGUUGCUUGAGGAAAGUAGUGAUGCUUUCCCUAGAUGAAUGAUUGUCGCUCCCUGGAGUACAGAACCCGGCUUAUAGAUUCGCUUUUGCC
rnacentral:RNase_P_RNA from 2 species